rnacentral:rRNA from 1 species
UACGUAGGGGGCAAGCGUUGUCCGGAUUUACUGGGCGUAAAGAGCGUGUAGGCGGCCACGCAGGUCCGUUGUGAAAACUGGAGGCUCAACCUUCAGACGUCGACGGAAACCGUGUGGCUAGAGUCCGGAAGAGGAGAGUGGAAUUCCUGGUGUAGCGGUGAAAUGCGCAGAUAUCAGGAAGAACACCAAUGGCGAAGGCAGCUCUCUGGGACGGUACUGACGCUGAGGCGCGAAAGCUAGGGGAGCAAACGGG